ACCCAGUGGUAUGUGCUUGUAGUCCCAGCUACUUGGGAGGUUGAGGCAGAAGGAUCACUUGAGCUUAGGAGCCAGUCUGAGUAACAUAGUGAAACCUGUCUAUU
rnacentral:sRNA from 1 species